GGUUUGCAUAAAUAAAAAAAUUCAUGGAGCAGGUUCCUGUACUAAGGCUGCUUGGAAAAUUCAUGGACUUUUUUGGGAAAGCAAUCUUUUUUUUUUCUAAAUAAGGAGAAAAUACCAGAAUGAUUAAUCCAGCAGGGCAUCUUCAUGACAGGUUUGGAACCCAAGCUACAGAAUCAGUUCCUAGUUCUACCCUUGGACAGUUAUGGGACGGUGAGUAACAGAUGGAAAAACUUUCAGCCUCAGUUUCUCCCUCCUUAACGUGGGAAGAAAAGUAAUUCUGUAGUUAAUGUGGAGACUUUCUGAGAGGAAUAGAAAAGACAGUUGGUGCAGGCAUGUGGCUGGCACAUGGGAGAACUCAAUAGUGAGCAGCAGGUAUCUGCCCGGGGCAGGAGUGCUUCCUCAUGCCCGGGAUGGCUUUCCUUCUUUCACCCCAGCCUCCCGCCCAGCCUAUGCCCUACGCAGCAGAGUGCAGAGGAUGUUCCCAAAGCCUCCAUAGGAUGGCGCCGUGCUUCUCCUAGUGCUGCCUCCUCAACUCAGUCCCAAAUCCAGACAGCUGGGUUGGUGCCCUCGGCUCGCAGGUCACAGGCUCUGAUGCACUCUGUCUCCACCUGUGCAGUCCUCUUCCUACUUCACAUCCCCUCCUCUCUUCCUGUGUCUGCUUGGGCACCCCGUCCCUCCACCCCAGACCUGUAGAGACAGAGCUGGGAUGUCCUUACGUUGGCCUCUCAAGGUCCCUUAAUAUAGCCUCCCAUAACCCUGACUCACAACCGCCACCUUUUGGUUCCUCCUACUCCAUGGCAUGCUGCUGUGGAGGCCAAGUCCCCAGCACUGCGUUCCCCAGGCAAUGCUGAAGAAAAGGCCAGGGCUGCUCAUCAAGGAAGGUGUUGUCAUUAGGGCAGCCGUGGUUUUCCUAGGCAGCCAGACUUACCAUGGGCAUGUAGAGAAAAAGCACCAAGAUCUUUGUAAAAUUGACUUCCAUUUUGUGUUAAAA
rnacentral:lncRNA from 10 species